rnacentral:rRNA from 1 species
GAUAACACUUAGAAAUAGGUGCUAAUACCGCAUAAGCGCACGAAGCCGCAUGGAUUUGUGUGAAAAACUCCGGUGGUGUAAGAUGGACCCGCGUCUGAUUAGCUUGUUGGCGGGGUAACGGCCCACCAAGGCGACGAUCAGUAGCCGGCCUGAGAGGGUGGACGGCCACAUUGGGACUGAGACACGGCCCAAACUCCUACGGGAGGCAGCANUGGGGGAUAUUGNACAAUGGGGGGAACCCUGAUCCAGCGACGCCGCGUGAGUGAAGAAGUAUUUCGGUAUGUAAAGCUCUGUCNGCAGNNAAGAAAGAAAUGACGGUACCUGACCAAGAAGCCCCGGCUAACUACGUGCCAGCAGCCGCGGUAAUACGUAAGGGGCAAGCGUUAUCCGGAAUUACUGGGUGUAAAGGGAGNGUANACGGUUAAGUAAGUCUGGAGUGAAAGGCCGGGGCUCAACCCCGGGACUGCUCUGGAAACUAUUUAACUUGAGUGCAGGAGAGGUAAGCGNAAUUCCUANUGUANCGNUUAAUGNNUAGAUAUUUNGAGGAACACCANUGGCGAANGCGGCUUACUGNACUGUAACUGACNUUGAGGCUCGAAAGCNNGGGGAGCAAACANGAUUAGAUACCCUGUNGUCCACGCCGUAAACGAUGAUUACUAGGUGU